rnacentral:snRNA from 1 species
GUGCUUCCUUCAGCAGCACAUAUACUAAAGUUGGAAUGAAAGAGAAUAGCAUGACCCCUGCACAAGGAGAACAUGCAAAUUCAUGCAGUAUUCCAUUUUUUU